UGCCAGCAGCCGCGGUAAUACGAAGGGGGCGAGCGUUAUCCGGAAUUACUGGGCGUAAAGUGUUCGUAGACGGUAUUUGUUGUUUUAUGUAAAAUACUAGGUUCAUUACUUAGAAAUACAUAUAAUACACUUUUACUAGAGUUUAACAGAGGAUAACAGAAUUUUAUAUUAUAGGGGUAAAAUCUGUAGAUUUAUAAAGGAAUGUCAGUGGCGAAAGCGGUUAUCUGGGUUAAUACUGACGUUGAGGAACGAAAGCGUAGGGAGCAAACAGGAUUAGAUA
rnacentral:rRNA from 1 species